AACGAACGCUGGCGGCGUGCCUAACACAUGCAAGUCGAGCGCGAAAGUUCUUCGGAAUGAGUAGAGCGGCGCACGGGUGAGUAACACGUGGGUAAUCUGCCUUUUGGCCUGGGAUAACUCGGGGAAACUCGAGCUAAUACCGGAUGAGACUACGCAACGAGAGUUGAUUAGGAAAAGCGGGGGAUCUCUUCGGAGACCUCGCACCUAAAGAUGAGCCCGCGUCCCAUUAGCUAGUUGGUAGGGUAAUGGCCUACCAAGGCGAAGACGGGUAGCUGGUCUGAGAGGAUGAUCAGCCACACUGGAACUGAAACACGGUCCAGACUCCUACGGGAGGCAGCAGUGGGGAAUAUUGCGCAAUGGGCGAAAGCCUGACGCAGCAACGCCGUGUGAGUGAUGAAGGCCUUCGGGUCGUAAAGCUCUGUCGGCAGGAACGAAGGGUGAGUGUUUUAAUAAAGCAUUCAUUUGACGGUACCUGCAAAGGAAGCACCGGCUAACUCUGUGCCAGCCGCCGCAGUAA
rnacentral:rRNA from 1 species